rnacentral:lncRNA from 1 species
AUGCCCCGGUGCUGUUUACCUGCCCCCUGGGACCCCUUAUCUGGCACUGCCUCCGGGAGAUUAUCCAGGGCUGAGAACCAAAACCGGAUCAGGGCUAUCGCAGCAUCGCCCGGGCCCCGGAGGACCCACCCUGGACUUUGCCCAGGCGGCACCGAUAGCGCCGGGGGGAUAAAGCAGCUUUGUGCGCCCRGCUGCGGCGGGAUGGCCGGCAGGCGAGGCCGGGGCCGGGGCCGGGGCCGUGGCGGUGGCUCCCGCAGCGGUGGCUCCCGCGGCAGGGUGCUCCCAGCCGGCCCCCACGGCCGAGGCUGCCGUCGCCCGGGCGUUGCAGCAGGAGCAAAGCGCGCGAGGGCCGGAGCUGGUGUCGGGCUGCUGCAGGAGGAUGCGCGUGACCCGCCAGCGUGGCUUCGGGGGCCUCCGGGGUCGGUGAAACGCGGCCGCCCYGGGGAGCAGCCCCGCAAGCUCCGGGGCUCGGGCAUCAGGGUCCCUCGCGGGCAGCCGUGCCGUCGGCRCGGGACCCCUGCUCCGGCGUGGGGCCCCCGGGGCCGCCCGCAGCACAGCUUCCCGGCUGUCAUCGCUGCUGGGCUUGGCUCGCUCGGGGUAAAUUCGGGAACCGUCUCCUGGGGACGGCCCCGCGGUGAGUCACGCUCAGCAGGGCAGGAGCCUCCGGCUCAGAGCUGCUCCGGGGGCAGAGGGUGGCUGCAGGGCCGGGAGCGUGCCGGGGUCUCCUGGAUGUGGCCAGCCGCCGGGGGACGGGAUGCGAUGCUGUCCCCUGCCCUGCCCGCGGAGGCAGGCGCCGUCCCGUGCAGGAUCCGGGGUGGGAUCGCUGCCGCAGCCGGGCAUGCCGUCCUCCCCCUCCUGCAGCGCAGUUUUGGGACCUGUCUGGCCAGAAACUCCGCUUCUCGCCYGCGGUGCGGUGCAGGCACAGGGAGGAGCCGCGACGGGGUGGGAGAAGCACCGGGACCAGCCCGUGGGCACCUCUCGCCGGCGGUGCGUAAAAGGGCGGCUUCUUCCUCGUGCGGGAUGCUCUGGCCCUUUCUGAGGCCCCGUUUUUGGUCUCUUUUCUCAGCGURUUGCUGA